UGUUAUAGUGCUGACUGUGUUUAAAUAGUAAUGAAUGGAGGUGGUGUUUGUAGGAGUUGUGCGGAGGAAGAGAUACAUGAACGUGAAUGAGUGCGUGGGUGGGUGUUUCUCUGGGCGGGUUCAAUGGCUUUGGGCUCUCUGGCUAAUGAGGAAAUAGUCAGUGGUGAUGAAACAACUCUCUGGCUGUAAAAAAGGUUUCACUACAGUAUGAUGCAACAAUCAAAGAGAAUUCCCCCGCUCAUUAUUAUUCUACUGCUCUCUCUCUUUGUAACUCACUCUUUCUCUCUGGCCUCUUCGCCCACACCUAUUUCUGUGCCAGUAAACUGUAAAUGCUAUCAAUAUCAACAUGCAACAAGUUGUAAAGUGAACGCACAGACUAGCACGUUCAAUGUAUUCUGCACACAGAAACAAACACACACGCACACACACGCACACACACACACACACACACACACACACACACACAUAUACAUAUAUUUAUGCUGGCUUGCAAAAUCAACCCGGAAAACUCAAGCAUUACUGGACAACUUCUUUUUUUUUGUCUUUUUUUUUUUGUGUUUGCUUUUUCGAUAGCUUCCCUUUUCUUGUACUUCCUCAUGAUUUCUGUCCAUUUUAUGAGAAGGCACAAGCUCUGUGGUUACUAUAGCUUGACUAGAAACUGUACAGAGUCAAAAGAAGUCUCUUUCUGUAAUUUUGAUCACAUGAAUGUAUUUUGCGUUUUAUUUAAGUUCGUUUCACAUGAUGCGUGCCAUGCUGCAGUGACUUCAGAGAUCAGAAUGUGAUGAUAUACACAUGGCAACAGCUCCCUUCAUCUGUGAUGUGGAAACCUCUGAGGAAUCUCUGAGGGCUGCUGUGAGCAGCCACCAGGUCAGGCAUCGGGUCUGCUCCUACACUCUCCUCCAGGUCCUUGUAGGUGUACUGACGGUCUUUGUGCUGGCACUGACUGGAAGUCUCAUCUGGAUGAAGGAGACUUCGGAUUGCCCAGGGAAGCUUUGGACUGUCAAUUUCACAGGAACAAACGCAACCUUCACUUCACCUAGAACUCAGAAAUAUGUGAUCUUUGGCAGUGUCUUCACAACAGGAGUUGUCAGUAACUGCACAAAUGUAUUCAGGCUGCAAUCCCAUGGAAAAGAAAUCCUAAAAAGUGGAGUCGCUGAGAUAUUUAGUAGAGAUGAUGUAGAGCUUCGGAAAGAAGCAACACUAAGUGUAAUGCUUAAUUGUAAAGUGUUUAUUGAUGAGGACAAGUCCAAACUCUUCAUUUAUCAACAUAACUCAUGCUAGGAUGCAUACACAUCUUAGCUGUUGCUGGUAUCCGGCCCAAGGGGAAAACCCUCUCUUUAACUUUUAAAGAUUUACAUACAUAUACUGUAGCUGAAUCUGAUUGAACAAACAAUUACUUUCAACAUCAGUGUCAAGAGCUUAGAGGGAUCCUGACAAGGCUAACUUGUGAAUGUUUUGUUAAGCAAAAAUGGUUUAAAAUGAUUGCAGAAUUUAUCAGUGAAGUUCAGUAGAACAUUUGUUUGUUCAUCAGUGUGAGUGUGGUUUAGUUACUGUAUAUUUAAAUAUUUUAUAAAUUACUUUAAAUCUAUUUUUAGAUAAUUACUGAUUGUAUUUGAAUUAUUAUUUCCUUUUUGUUUGAAAUUUAUUAACAAAAUGUAAACUGUUUGUUUUGGCACCUAUGGUGUCCACAACCUUCUCAUUACUGUUCAACUCUAUGAAACCUCUGAAACAUGUUUGUAUUCAUUACACACAUUAUUAAAAAUUAUCCUGACAAGAGCAUGUUUGCUUGCAAAUCCUCAUUCUAUAUUAAUUUUACAUUUUAUACUGAAAGGUUUAUUUAUGAAGGAUCUGAGCAACCUGUGUGUGUAGCUUAAAGAAAGCAACUAUACAUUUGGGUUGUUUUAUUUUUCUAUAUUCCAUUUAAUCGUAUCAUUUAACCAUUUGUUCAUUAUUGUUAUUAAUUUAUGAAACACUUUAGUAUAGGGACCAAUUCUCACUAGUUGCUCAUUAGCAUGCCUGUUAUUAGUAAAAAGCACAUAUGUGACCCUGGACAACAAAACCAGUCUUAAGACACUGGGGUAUAUUUGUAGCAAUAGCCAAAAAUACAUUGUAUGGGUUUUUU
ensembl:lncRNA